UAGUGUAAUGGUUAGCAUGUCUGCUUUACAUGCAGAAGGUCUUGGGUUUGUGCCCCAG
rnacentral:tRNA from 1 species